CCUACGGGCGGCAGCAGUGGGGAAUAUUGCACAAUGGGGGAAACCCUGAUGCAGCAACGCCGCGUGAGUGAAGAAGUAUUUCGGUAUGUAAAGCUCUAUCAGCAGGGAAGAGAAUGACGGUACCUGACUAAGAAGCCCCGGCUAACUACGUGCCAGCAGCCGCGGUAAUACGUAGGGAGCCAGCGUUAUCCGGAUUUACUGGGUGUAAAGGGAGCGUAGACGGCUGUACAGGUCUGAAGUGAAAGCCCGUGGCUCAACCGCGGAAUUGCGUUUGAAACUGUAAAGCUGGAGUACUGUAGAGGCAGGCGGAAUUCCUGGUGUAGCGGUGAAAUGCGUAGAUAUUAGGAGGAACACCAGUGGCGAAGGCGGCCUGCUGGACAGAAACUGACGUUGAGGCUCGAAAGCGUGGGGAGCAAACAGGAUUAGAUACCCUAGUAGUC
rnacentral:rRNA from 1 species